GACGAACGCUGGCGGCGUGCUUAACACAUGCAAGUCGUACGGUAAGGCCCUUUCGGGGGUACACGAGUGGCGAACGGGUGAGUAACACGUGAGUAACCUGCCCACAACUUUGGGAUAACGCUAGGAAACUGGUGCUAAUACUGGAUAUGUGCUCCUGCUGCAUGGUGGGGGUUGGAAAGCUCCGGCGGUUGUGGAUGGACUCGCGGCCUAUCAGCUUGUUGGUGGGGUAGUGGCCUACCAAGGCGGCGACGGGUAGCCGGCCUGAGAGGGUGACCGGCAACAUUGGGACUGAGAUACGGCCCAGACUCCUACGGGAGGCAGCAGUGGGGAAGAUUGCACAAUGGGCGCAAGCCUGAUGCAGCAACGCCGCGUGCGGGAUGACGGCCUUCGGGUUGUAAACCGCUUUCAGCAGGGACGAAGCUUUUUGUGACGGUACCUGCAGAAGAAGCACCGGCUAACUACGUG
rnacentral:rRNA from 1 species